rnacentral:misc_RNA from 1 species
GUCUCCUACCAAAGAAGAUUAAUUCCAGGAAAAUUUUCAGAAUUAUGCAAAUUACCAAGGUUCUAGAAACAUGAUAAUCAAUAGCAGUGGGAGAACAAAUCAUUGCUUCUCACCAUGCUGAACCCCCACCAUUGAUAUUGAAGGGCACAUCUUUGAUCUAGAACUGGAAUUACCCCAAACUACACUUCUUUUUUUACAAAUACCCUUUUACUCAAUUGUCAUGUUUUGCUUCUCAGGUGGACA